AACUGAAGAGGUUUUUUUCGAAAUUGAGAUAGCGAUUGAUUUAGAUAGUAGAUAGCAUCAAAGUUAGUUCCUAAAAAUUUGAGAUUUUAGAAAAGCGUAUUUAUAUUAGAAAAAGUAAUUUGAAAGUGUAAAAAAUAACGAGAUUUGAAAAUCAGCUUCAAUGGCCGAAACCGGAAGUGACGUAUUGUAAUGGACUGAGAAAAUGUAAAUAAAAAUAGACAUGGCUGGAUACGUUAUUGAUAGCGAUUCAGAUAAUAAAUUUAUCUAAAUCUAGCUGUCCAACAAUUUUAAAUGAUACUUAUCAUGGGGUGCACCAAAAUGCCAUGAAGAGAACUCUUCUACUUUUUCAAAAUAUAUUCUAGAGCAGACUAUUGAAUUAAUAUAAUUAUAGAUAGAUUAUAAUAAUAGGACUAGUCACUAGAUUCUAGAUUCUAGAUCACUAGCACUAGAGUCACUAGAUCUACUUGACUACUAUUCUAGUACUACUCAGAUCUAGACUCUAGAGUGACUCUAGACCUAGUCUACUCUAGUAGUAGUCUCUAGUAUCAUCAAGUACUAGUAGAUCAUCUAUAAGGACUAGGUCUAGAAAACAUACAGACAAGUUUACUAGAUGGAUCUUUCAUCAUUUUGGAAAUACAAUAUUCCCUGUGAAACAAAUCACAGAAACAUUCUACAAUUUUAUUUUAUAUAAUAAAUACCAAUAAAUGUAAAUACAAAAUCACA